rnacentral:tRNA from 1 species
GGUGCCGUACCCAAGUGGUAAGGGAGAAGUCUGCAAAACUUUUAUGCGACGGUUCGAAUCCGCCCGGCACCU